GCACAGCACAGGGAGCCAUAGUCAAUAUUCUGCGAAAAAAACAUAAUGGAAAAGAAUAUGAAAGCGAAUGCACAGGCAGCCACUGUCCGCAUCAAAUGAAACUGACUCUCAGGAUGAAUAAACGGAGCCAUCAAUGCCUAAUUACCCUUGUCUAAACAAGUCAAAUAAUUCUUCCAGCUUUUUCUCCCAAUAUAUCCGGAUGAUAACAGCACCCCUUCCUUUGUUUCUUUGGGCUAUAUCUCCUUAUUCUUGGCACAGUUGCUUCCCUGCAGAGAUUUCAUGCAUAGAAGUAUCUCUAAUAAUUUGCCUUUUCUUCUCUGAAUUGACAACUCCCUGAGUUUCCAGUUACAGGGUAAAGAACGUUUGCAAGUUGGUGCUUUGCUGCAGGGGAGUCCCUAAUUGUACGUCACCCGAAAUGCUUCGAGGGUUUUUUGAUUUGGACAAUGCUAGACAUUUUUACAAGAAUUAGUAUCCGUAUCUUUUUCUUUUUUGCAUCAACCCGGUGCUAGCUCUCGGUGGUCCCAUGGGAAACGCUCAUUCUUCUGAUCCUCCUGGUUUUCCUGAACCCUCUUUGCAAUCUACCACUCAUCAUUCUUCUACACCUGGACACAAUGCUCUCAGCAUUUGUGCAAAACAGUAGAAAGAGAUGGUAAUGCGUCUCCAAAAAGAAUGGCAAUCCUUCAUCCCAGCCUGAACAUUGGAUCAAAAUGACUACCCCCGUUGCUAACUUGGAGGCAGUGAUUGGGUAGGAUAGACUUCUGAAGAUGCUGAGAACCAGUGCGGACGCCCGGCUUGGCCACCCAGUAAAUGGCAAGGUGAUGUCCCAGCGUUCAACCUCUACUUGCUUAUUUCUGCAUAAUGUACACGCUUAUAAAUUCUCACCCCGAGAUGGAAACUAGUUUUUACUCCACUAAGAAAACGGCACUGAGAGUGUAAUCGCAACGCCUGCAGAAAGGGAGAGAAGGGCUCCUUUCCGGGGAUGUGGAUCCUCUGCCCAUCAUCCUGUCUUACUUAUUCUUGGGGCCAUGUGGUACCCGAAGUCCUCAUCACCUAUUUAUCUCAUCAUGACAUCACCUCUGUGCCUCAGUUAGAAAACCACGAAGACCGAAUGGAAACUUUCUCAGAGGCCACAGAGGUCAGGCAGAAAGAGCAGCUUGGGUUCAACCGGUUUUAAGUGCAUGUGACAUUUUUUCUUUUUCACUCCUUCCAGCUCUUUCUCUACCCGGGCUCUCUUUCCUCUCCCUCUUGUUUCUUUCUCUAUGUAUUUACUAUUGCUGAAGUCUGUUUAAC
rnacentral:lncRNA from 1 species